UCGGGAAUUUUGGGCAAUGGGCGAAAGCCUGACCCAGCAACGCCGCGUGAAGGAUGAAGUAUUUCGGUAUGUAAACUUCGAAAGAAUGGGAAGAAUAAAUGACGGUACCAUUUAUAAGCUCCGGCUAACUACGUGCCAGCAGCCGCGGUAAUACGUAGGGAGCAAGCGUUGUUCGGAUUUACUGGGCGUAAAGGGCGCGUAGGCGGCGCGGUAAGUCACUUGUGAAAUCUCCGGGCCUAACCCGGAAAGUGCGGAGGGACUGCUCGGCUAGAGGAUGGGAGAGGAGCGCGGAAUUCCCGGUGUAGCGGUGAAAUGCGUAGAGAUCGGGAGGAAGGCCGGUGGCGAAGGCGGCGCUCUGGAACAUAUCUGACGCUGAGGCUCGAAAGCGUGGGGAGCAAACAGGAUUAGAUACCCCAGUAGUCCCUGAGCGGGCUGGCAAGGCGCAU
rnacentral:rRNA from 1 species